UACAGAGGGUGCGAGCGUUUAAUCGGAAUACUGGGCGUAAAGCGUGCGUAGACGGUUACGUAAGUCGGAUGUGAAAGCCCCGGGCUCAACCUGGGAAUUGCAUUCGAGACUGCGUAGCUAGGAUGCGGAAGAGGGAAGCGGAAUUUCCGGUGUAGCGGUGAAAUGCGUAGAUAUCGGAAGGAACACCAGUGGCGAAAGCGGCUUCCUGGUCCAGCAUACGACG
rnacentral:rRNA from 1 species